CCUACGGGAGGCAGCAGUGAGGAAUAUUGGUCAAUGGAGGAAACUCUGAACCAGCCAUCCCGCGUGAAGGAUGAAUGCCCUAGUGGUUGUAAACUUCUUUUAUAUGGGAAUAAACCUGAGUACGUGUACUCAGCUGAAGGUACCAUACGAAUAAGCAUCGGCUAACUCCGUGCCAGCAGCCGCGGUAAU
rnacentral:rRNA from 1 species